rnacentral:snoRNA from 1 species
ACGAUCUUACUUGAACAGGAUCUGUUCUAUAGGAUUCUACUAAUGUGUCCUUAUAUUCUAAGGAGACAGGAACCUAAAUCUGGUGGAUGAAUCAUGACCGUACGAUCAGAGCGUGAUUAACGGUUCUGUGAUGGGAA